UACGUAGGGGCCAAGCGUUGUCCGGAUUUAUUGGGCGUAAAGAGCGUGUAGGCGGCCAGGUAGGUCCGUUGUGAAAACUGGAGGCUUAACCUCCAGCUGUCGAUGGAAACCAUCUGGCUAGAGUCCGGAAGAGGAGAGUGGAAUUCCUGGUGUAGCGGUGAAAUGCGCAGAUAUCAGGAGGAACACCGGUGGCGAAGGCGGGUCUCUGGGCCGAGAUUGACGCUGAGGCGCGAAAGCCAGGGGAGCAAACGGG
rnacentral:rRNA from 1 species